CCUCCAUGAAGCCGGAAUCGCUAGUAAUCGCGGAUCAGAACGCCGCGGUGAAUACGUUCUCUGGUCCUGCACUCACCGCCCGUCAAGUCAAAGGAGAUGGGAGUACGUGAAGCC
rnacentral:rRNA from 1 species